AGCCAGACUCCUACGGGAGGCAGCAGUGGGGAAUAUUGCACAAUGGGGGAAACCCUGAUGCAGCGACGCCGCGUGAGUGAAGGAGUAUUUCGGUAUGUAAAGCCCUAUCGGCAGGGAAGAAGCAAGACGGUACCUGACUAAGAAGCCCCGGCUAACUACGUGCCAGCAGCCGCGGUAAUACGUAGGGGGCGAGCGUUAUCCGGAUUCACUGGGUGUAAAGGGAGCGUAGACGGCCAUGCAAGCCAGGGGUGAAAGCCCGGGGCCCAACCCCGGGACUGCCCUUGGAACUGUGCGGCUAGAGUGCGGGAGGGGCAGGCGGAAUUCCUGGUGUAGCGGUGAAAUGCGUAGAUAUCAGGAGGAACACCGGCGGCGAAGGCGGCCUGCUGGACGAUGACUGACGUUGAGGCUCGAAAGCGUGGGGAGCAAACAGGAUUAGAUACCCCAGUAU
rnacentral:rRNA from 1 species